CGAUCCGUCGCACUAUCACGUCAGAGAGAGUGAGAGACAGAGAACGCCUGAAGCCCUGAACGCCAUCACAAUCCGUCGCGCCUUUAGCACCGUCGCGCCGUCAGCUCCGUGGCGCCGUUGGGUCCGUUGCGCCGUCAGCUCCGUCGCGCAGUCAGCAGCGUCGCGCCGUCAGCUCCGUCGCGCACUCAGCCACUUCGACCAGUCACCUCCGUCGAGCUCUGAGAGAAAGCAAUAGAGUUCCAGUGAAUUUGUGACUUGUGA